GUAGCAGACCUGCCCUCUUGCGGGGGACAACAGUUCGAAAGGACUGCUAAUACCGCAUAGCUUUGCGUCCUUUAGAAAGGCGCACAGAAACUUCAGGGGCGAGAGGAGGGUGCUGCGGCCCAUCAGCUAGUUGGUAGGGUAACGGCCUACCAAGGCGACGACGGGUAGGGGGCCUGAGAGGGUGACCCCCCACACUGGAACAGACAGACGGUCCAGACUCCUACGGGAGGCAGCAGUAAGGGAUAUUGGGCAAUGGGCGAAAGCCUGACCCAGCAACGCCGCGUGGAGGACGACGGUCUUCGGAUUGUAAACUCCUUUUAACCGGGACGAGCAAGGACGGUACCGGUUGAAUCAGUCACGGCUAACUACGUGCCAGCAGCCGCGGUAAAACGUAGGUGGCGAGCGUUGUCCGGAUUUAUUGGGCGUAAAGAGCUCGUAGGCGGUUCGAUAAGUCGGACGUGAAAUCUCCACGCUCAACGUGGAGGGGCCGUUCGAUACUGUCGCGACUCGAGUCCGGUAGGGGAGUGUGGAAUU
rnacentral:rRNA from 1 species